UACGGAGGGUGCAAGCGUUAUCCGGAUUCACUGGGUUUAAAGGGUGCGUAGGCGGGCAGGUAAGUCCGGGGUGAAAUCUCUGAGCUUAACUCAGAAACUGCCAUGGAUACUAUUUGUCUUGAAUGUUGUGGAGGUAAGCGGAAUAUGUCAUGUAGCGGUGAAAUGCUUAGAUAUGACAUAGAACACCCAUUGCGAAGGCAGCUUACUACACAAAUAUUGACGCUGAGGCACGAAAGCGUGGGGAUCAAACAGG
rnacentral:rRNA from 1 species